CACAGUGAAGUGCCUGUAUGAGGGUGAUAAGACUGACGUGGAGACAACACAGCUUGACUGUUCUGCCAAUGUGACGUUUACAAUAUCUCACCUUCAUCAGAAGUCAAAGUAUUACGAGUUAUUGAAAUGUGAAGUGACAAACGUUGUUAUUGGAGAAGGGCAGCUGUUCACCUUCAUCCCUCCUCAGUCCUCCGUUGAGAAACCAGGUGAUGAUGCAACAACUACAAUAUCUCUGACUACAAAUAAAUCACCAAUGACAACAGGAAAUAAACGGAUAUCAGAAGAGACUAUCAAACUAAACCAGAAGGCUGGUGGAGGAUCAUCGUCAUGUCUCUGGGUUUAGCAUCACUCAUAACAAGUGUUGUGGUGGUCAACAUAUGGGCAAGAACUAAAGGGAACAAAACAGAGACGGAAGAAAACAUUAAAUAUGAUAAUGAAGAUGAUGAAGAGGAAGGUACAGUGACCUAUGAAAACGCUGCAGAGCCUUCUACCUCUGUCUGACUCCACUGAUCAACAACAUCAACUCACCACAGAGUCCUCUGCUGUUAAACAUCAUCUCAUCAUAUAUUACAUGAGUAGAUACCAAAAUGAUAUGUUGAUGGAUGACUGAAUGUGUUUUAUGUGCCGACCUGUUUCUAUUUUAGUCUGAGCUGGACAAAGAUACUCAAGUCUUGAUCUGAUCUCAUAUUAAGAAGUCCCCCUUUGAUUUAGUCCAGAACCUUAACUUCAUCUAAAACAGAUCACUUGGUAUAUUCAUUUAUUUCUUAUUUAGCUUCCUUAAAUAAUGCUCUCACAUACUCAUACACAUUUAUACUUCUGUCCAUAUAUCUGAUCUAUAGUCUAUACACAGUAUUCAUAUCAUUCCUCCAGCUGUUUAUUCUGUAU